CGUCGGUCUCCCCGCGGCGGCUAGUCGUAAACCCCGUCAGGCCCGGAAGGGAGCAGCGGCAGCGGUGAUGCCGGGCGCCGGGGCCGGGCUG
rnacentral:SRP_RNA from 3 species